CUCCCACCUCCUGGCAAGUCGCGACAACGGGCGCCGUUCCACUACCAGCAACAGACUCCACGUGGCACGUCCCGACGGUGGCCACGAUCCCGUUCCACUACUCUUCGCAACAAACUCCGCCUGACUCUGGACAGCCCACUGCCAGACGGUUACAGAUAUCGCUAUCAGUCUGCUGCCCCCUUUUCGCCUAUAAAAAGGGGCCCCAGAUACGUUAUUCUCUAAGCUCUCGUUUUUUAUCUAGAAACUCUACUAAAAUUUUCGUUCGAGCACUCCAUUCUUGUUGAGGCAGAGAACUGACUUGAGCGUCGGAGGGUCUUGCCGAAGCAACCCCACCUCCGGUUUAGAC
rnacentral:lncRNA from 1 species